UUCUGGCUCAGGAUGAACGCUAGCUACAGGCUUAACACAUGCAAGUCGAGGGGCAGCAUGAUCUAAGCUGCUUAGAUUGAUGGCGACCGGCGCACGGGUGAGUAACGCGUAUCCAACCUUCCCUAUAGUAGAGGAUAGCCCGGCGAAAGUCGGAUUAAUACUCUAUGUUUUCCAAUGCAGACAUCUAAAAUGGAAUAAAGGUUUACCGCUAUAGGAUGGGGAUGCGUCUGAUUAGGUUGUUGGCGGGGUAACGGCCCACCAAGCCUACGAUCAGUAGGGGUUCUGAGAGGAAGGUCCCCCACAUUGGAACUGAGACACGGUCCAAACUCCUACGGGAGGCAGCAGUGAGGAAUAUUGGUCAAUGGGCGAGAGCCUGAACCAGCCAAGUAGCGUGCCAGGAUGACGGCCCUAUGGGUUGUAAACUGCUUUUAUAUGGGGAUAAAGUUCACCACGUGUGGUGUUUUGCAGGUACCAUAUGAAUAAGGACCGGCUAAUUCCGUGCCAGCCGCGGC
rnacentral:rRNA from 1 species